CAGUUAUAUAACAUGCAAAAUUAUCAGUUUAGACAAUGUACCGAAGUUCAAGAAGAGGAAAACAAAUAGGAAAACCUUAAGAGUCGAGUCAGUUGAUAAGGACUCCGAAAGAAAAACACAUUGUGGAUUUCUGCUUUUAGGUUUUUAUCUGGAGCCUAUGUACUUACAUCUCCUCCUCUGCCUACCCCUCUUACAGUCCAUUGAAAGAAUAAAAAUGGUAAAAAAAAGAAAACCGCUGUAGGACUACUGGAAAAGAGAGAAAAGGCUACUUUUUAUACCAUUGACAUAUAAGAAAUGUAGAACUUCUGGAGUGUGUGAAACACAGGGAACCACACUGAAACCAAACUAAUCAGACUUGCAUAGCAGCAGCACCAUAUGGCAGUGACAGCACCUUCUGCAAGAAGAGAAACUCUAAACCAAUUACAACAAUAUCAUUUCUGUGUUGAACCAUAAGUCAUUGGAAACCCACUGCAACCAUGCUUCCAUAAUAGCAGCUGGAAUCUCCAAUUCUACAGAGAAAAGGAAUGUUGAAGUAACAUACAUGUAGCUUUGAGGAGGAGGCACGUGCAUUCAAGCUCAUGGAGAGGAUUGACAGCCACAGACAGGCACUCAUAAGAACUGAAUGUAAAUCAUCAAAGAGAAUAUACUCAGGAGGCACUGUCUACCAUAGGCAGACAAAACGGUUCCUGGUGGCCUGCCCAGCAUUCAGACUCUGGCCUCAGCCUCACAGCAGAGCAGCCUCAAGUCUCAAGAGUACUACAGGUGCCAGACCAAGCUCUACUUAGCUGAAUAGGUGUUGAAGAGGUUUGCAGCAAUACGCAUUACCACAGCCAGGACAAAGGAAGCAGGAAGAAGAUGGUAACUAUGCAGAGAUUUCCAAGCAAUUGAAAAUAAUAAAAAUGUAUAUAAACUUUCUUAAGUUCAGUGGUACCUAGUGUUGAUAUAGGAGUUAAGAAGAAAUCACUUAGGCAGAUAGUAAGGGUAUGGGAGUCCUCGAUAAGGCUUUCCUUUUUAAUGAAAGCAGCUCAAAAUCAUUUUCUAACAAAGAGCAGCCCGUAAAGUCGGGCUGCAGACACAAGACAAGCAAGCUGGGAGCUUUCACAGGUGAAUGCCAGGCAGAAACUAAGGACUAGACAUGUUCAAGAUGGUGGCUCCAUCUUCCCUUCUCUUUGUCAGCUACAUAUACAGUAAGAAGCAGACAAGAUGGUGCAGAUCAACUGAAAAGCCCAUUUGCAUAAUAAGAUUAGGGUGGGUGGCCAGCCUUCCUCAUGCUAUGUUAACGUCAUACCUCAUCAAACCAAUCUGUGAGUCCUAUGUAAAUCAGACACCACUUCCUCAAACCUGACUAUAAAAUUCGGGUGCAUCCACCACCUGCUGGUCCUUUCCACUUGGAGACCCCUCUUUCUAUAGAGAGAGCUAUUUCUCUUCCUCUUCUGCCUGUUAAACCUCUGCUCCUAAACUCCUCGUGUGUGUCCGUGUCCUAAAUUUUACUGGCGCAUGAUAAUGAACCCCAGGGUAUAUACCCAGACAAUGGAGCUGCUUUAGUGUUAACAUAAUUUUUAUUGUAUAGAAAAUAUCUCCUCCUAUGGUUAUAUAAAUUGUGUAACCAAGAGAUGCAUGUAGCAUUAUAAUCGCUAUUUUAUAUAUGUAAAAACUGAGACCCAUAUUAAUUUUGCAAAGAUCUGGCUGCUGUAGGAUUUGAACAUAUUCUUUUUCUUACUGAGUUAUAAUUAACACACAAUAAACAUUUCAAAUCUUAAGUAUGUAGCCCUGAAACUUUUUAUAAAUGUAACUUUCUAACAUUGUAACCAUGAGUAAAAUCAUCACCUUGAAAGCAAUAAAAACUGAGUUCAUUUCCUAAAGAUAGAACACUCACAAUGAAAAGAAAAUAAUAUUUCAAUCAUUUACCUAAGGACAAUUAUUUUUGUGCAUAAUUUCCAUUGCCUUAUGCAUUAACAGAAUGUAUGCAGUAAACAUUGCAAGCCACAUUAGUAAUGUGGAUGAAGAAACUGAUCAGGUGUGAAAAUCUCUUUGUUCUUAUCUCCUUAUUAAAGAUAUUCAUUAAGCUCCUUUUUCAGA
rnacentral:lncRNA from 10 species